UCAAGUCUUCCCUCCAUUCCCAAUUACUUCACCCUUCCUCUAGCAUCUCUUAGCCGGAUUCCUGGUGUAUUCCCAGAGAGGAGUGGGGAGAGAGCCGGGCCCCGCGGAGGCUGCUGCCCCAGCCCGGCCGAGCCUAGGGGAGCCGAGCGGAGUGCGGCACGGCGCCGCUCCAUGCCCCCGAGCGCUGGCGGGGCGCGGGGCGUGUGCCGGCGAUGCCCGGGCGGUAAGGCUGGAGCUGCCCCCGGACGGGAGGCGGCCGAUCGCUAGGCGCUUCUAGCAAGAAUCGGGACUGCAGGAUGAAUAAGAGAUACUUACAGAAAGCAACAAAGGGAAAACUGCUAAUAAUAAUAUUUGUUGUAACGCUGUGGGGGAAAUUAGCAUCUGGGGCAAAUCACCAUAAAGCUCACCAUGUUAAAACUGGGACAUGUGAAGUGGUGGCUCUUCACAGAUGCUGCAAUAAGAAUAAGAUAGAAGAAAGAUCACAGACAGUGAAGUGUUCCUGCUUCCCUGGGCAGGUAGCAGGUACCACCCGGGCAGCUCCUUCUUGUGUUGAUGCUUCAAUAGUGGAGCAGAAAUGGUGGUGCCACAUGCAACCAUGUCUUGAAGGGGAGGAAUGUAAAGUUCUUCCAGAUCGUAAGGGAUGGAGCUGUUCCUCUGGGAAUAAAGUGAAAACAACUAGGGCAAACGUGUAAAACUCCUCAAGUCCGAAUGGAGAAGUAGAGAAAGGAGGUUUCUGCUGUGCCUGAUGACAAUUUUUGUUUUUCCACACACAAAAAAUAUUCUGGCUCCACGUUGGAGCACUAGUUGUGAUGAAUCCUAGUCUUGGUCGGAUUCUAAGGAAGGGCCAGAACGUUCGUUGAGGAAUAAAGAAUAAACCACUCCAGAAAAUGAGUUCCAGCCCCGGUUUAUUACUCACAGAGCAGCAGGUAACCCGAUAGCUAAAGACAUAUCAAACCAGUCUCAAGGCUGAUAACAUUAAAUACAGCACAUAGGAAUUUCAUUCCUCCAGGCAAUCCUUGAAGAGAAAUUUUAUACUGCUGGGGUGUAUCCUUCAGAAUCAAUUGUUUCAAUGAGAACCUGGCUUGUAAUCAGCAACAGCCUUGAGAUCCAAACUACUGGAAAGUUAUUUUGAACUUCUGUGUUACAAAUAUUUCAACUGAUUGAACUGUGUACACUUGUAAAAUUGCACUUGCUGAGGAAUUUGCAGCUGUAAUCAUGAGCCAAUAUUCUAAAGGUGCAGAAAAGCAGCAAACUUUUGAGUUCUCCAUUGCAGAUCAGUGGCUUUUCAUCUUGAAGAAGUCAACCUCUGAAAUGUAUUGGAUCCUUCACUUUAAAAUGAUCCCUGGUCCACUGUUCAGAUUGCUGGUGGGACUGCACACUGCUUUAAUUAAAUUUCUGUUGCAGAAAUUGUCCUCUGGCAUGGCGCAGUUUUAGACAUUUUUAUUUGUGUUCUAAUCUUGCAGCUCUCAAAGGUACAUAUUUAAAUAUCUUGAAGUUGCUUUGUUAUAGGAAUGGAAUUAUAUAUCCAUUGUUAAUAAUUAUUGUUGACAAGUAAUAGUUAUAUGAAUACAUCAGUCAUAUUAGAAUGUAUAGUCAGGUUGACAUGUUUCCCUAAGGCUAACCAACUACUGCAGCUUAACAGUUAAAGAAAGUAGUGGUCAAAAACUCAAUUACCACUUCUGUUAUAAGGCAUUUUAUGUGUUUAAUAUAUACAUUUCCAUUUAGUUCAAAGGAAAUGGUUAUUCCCAAUAUGUACUUUACUUUCCUAACCUUUAAUUCAUUUAAAUUGAUGGUAAGCAGUCAAUUACACUAUUUCAUCCCUUUUUUAUAAAGGUAGGCAGGGAUGUAAAUGAGUUUUGCAAUUAUGAUAUUGGAUGGUAAUCAUUCAGAAUUUUUGUCUUUUUAUUAAAAAAUAAAAUCUAUUGCUUGAACCUAA